UACAGAGGUCUCAAGCGUUGUUCGGAUUCAUUGGGCGUAAAGGGCGCGUAGGCGGCGCAACAAGUCACUUGUGAAAUCUCCGGGCUUAACCCGGAGCGGCCAAGUGAUACUGUCGUGCUAGAGUGCGGAAGGGGCUACUGGAAUUCUCGGUGUAGCGGUGAAAUGCGUAGAUAUCGAGAGGAACACCUGCGGCGAAGGCGGGUAGCUGGGCCGACAAUGACGCUGAGGCGCGAAAGCCAGGGGAGCGAACGGG
rnacentral:rRNA from 1 species